GAUGAACGCUGGCGGCGUGCCUAAUACAUGCAAGUCGAGCGAACGGACGAGAAGCUUGCUUCUCUGACGUUAGCGGCGGACGGGUGAGUAACACGUGGAUAACCUACCUAUAAGACUGGGAUAACUUCGGGAAACCGGAGCUAAUACCGGAUAAUAUAUUGAACCGCAUGGUUCAAAAGUGAAAGACGGUUUUGCUGUCACUUAUAGAUGGAUCCGCGCUGCAUUAGCUAGUUGGUAAGGUAACGGCUUACCAAGGCGACGAUGCAUAGCCGACCUGAGAGGGUGAUCGGCCACACUGGAACUGAGACACGGUCCAGACUCCUACGGGAGGCAGCAGUAGGGAAUCUUCCGCAAUGGGCGAAAGCCUGACGGAGCAACGCCGCGUGAGUGAUGAAGGUCUUCGGAUCGUAAAACUCUGUUAUUAGGGAAGAACAUAUGUGUAAGUAACUGUGCACAUCUUGACGGUACCUAAUCAGAAAGCCACGGCUAACUACGUG
rnacentral:rRNA from 1 species